GAAAAAGCAGUUUCCCAAAGUUCAUUCUAUUAUAAAAUCUAUUCAGAAUACACCAUGGUUAAAUACAUAGUACCUAAUGAUAUAGGGCUCUGUGGAGAUCACAAUCUGUUAGUACUUCAAUGUGUGUACCUUCAAUAAUCUAUAUAAUGGCUAUCUCUGAAUAUCAACUUUAGUUAGGAGCUAUCUUAUAAUUCCUUACUUUUAAAUGAUUUCCUUUUGAUGCAAAUUAUUUAAAACAGCAGUCAUAUUUUGAUAGAAAUACUGAGCAAAUGGGCUGGUGCUAACCUCACCAACUUAGUCCGCAAGCAGAGGUAUAACCAAGUGAUAAUGAUAACAAUACACCAGAUGUGAAGUUAGAAUGUUUCUUCGAUGACGUAAAUAUCAGUUAUUAAACUAUACUUUCUAAUACUGUCACAAAAGCAACUUUCCA
rnacentral:lncRNA from 1 species